AGCGCUCACAGGCUAUUUACCUUCCUGCUAUGCGCUGUUUACCCUGUGAUGAUGGAGGAAUCCUCUGGACCCUUCUGCUGUGGAUAGGAUUUCCGUGGGUUUGUCCCAGUGUACUCAGCAGCGUUGCCGGUUGCCUGCCCCUCAGCUCGCCCUCGCAUUUAGCCCAACGGAUUUGGGAGUAGACCUGAGCACGUGCGUUUUGUUUUUCUGCUUGUUUAACAAGUGAAGCGGCCGUUUGUGUGUUUUCUGGCCCAUCGAGCCCGAGCAACGACCAGGCCUGCAACGGUUUCAGUACAUGAGCUCGCAAAGGUUACAAAUCUGGACUGAACUUAAAAGGAUUGUGGGAUAAAUGUGUUUUCUAAAACAUUGACUGUGAGCGUGAAGAGAAAACAUCCAAUUGAAUUGUCACGAGCAGUUGUCUAAGCAUUUCACUGCAUAUCGUACUGUGUAUGACUGUGUACGUGACAAAUAAAAUUUGAAUUUGAGCUACGUGAGUUGGGUGCUACAUUAGUGAUG
ensembl:lncRNA